CUCCUGUGCCUGCUGUGCUGAUAAUCAGUGUGUGACGUUGGCUGGCUCAGUUCAGCAGGAACAGGGG
rnacentral:pre_miRNA from 18 species